GUGGCAGAGAGGUAGCAGGAAUCCUGAGAGACGGCUGUAACGAGGAGCCAUCCAAGCAGUUGCAGGGCAGAGCCCACUGCCUUCCACCUGUGAGAUAAUGGGCAAUGCAGCACAGAGUGCAGCCUUCUUUUCUUCCAAGAACAAUGCCAGCAUGCCAUCUUGUCCGUCCUCUCAGCUGCCCACAGAGUCUUGAGCCCUCUUGUGUCACAGGGGAAGCCACCAUGUGACCCACAGGAAGUCCCCGAUGGAGCCAACACAGGUCUUGAAGUGCUCCUGUCUUCCUGUUCCAUCACCAGCACUGGAGAACCCCACCAUCCCCCCGCUCCUAGGACAUGCCAGAAGCAGUUAUGAAUGGGAUGCAUGCCCUUGUCCCCACAGGGACUCAGUCAGACCUGCUGACCUGCUGCAAGCCCCUAGACAGCUGCCUCCAUUGGAGGAAGGACGCUUGGUGGCAGAGCUUACACCCAGCCCAGGGUCACACCUCUCUGCAGUGUUCCUGGGGAUGUACAUAGCCUCCCGUGCACAAAUGGCUGUCCCUGAUUUGAUGUGACCGCACCAGGCUGUGAGUAGCCAUCAGAAGAGCCCAGAAUCCCCUGUGGUGCGCUAGGGGGUGGCAGGUUGUCAAACAAACUGGCACAUGUCUUACUCCAAAGGGGUGACUGCUGCAAAACACAUAUCUAUCACAGCUAUCAAUUGGGAUGCUGAGUGUACUGGGGCUAUUCAGCUCCCGGCUGGAAACCACCAGCUGCCAGUUAUUACCACCGAGUGUAAAUUGGGUCCUGUUAAAAUGCAAUUUCCGGAGCUCUCCAGGACUUGUUUUUCUGCAAAUGCCUUUUGUCUGCAUUAAACGCCUUCCCAGGCCGAGUGGGACGAGCAGCUAACAGAGGAGCCAAAGUAAAACACAAACAGAGGCAGCUCCUGGCUUCCCCAGCAGCCUGUACUGAGUCGUGCUCCUGCCUCGUCUGCACGCUGGGACACCCUUCCUGCAGGUCUCCCUUUUCACAACGCCCGGUGCCUCUGUGAUGGUGCGAUGGAGCAGCGUUUCUCCCAGCAGCACUGCCAUCUGCUCCUGGUGACCAUCCCUGCCCGGCUGCAAGGCACAAAGACGCCAACGGAAGGUGGUUCUCCUGGUGUGGAGCGGUACGGGCAGGCUGCAGAGGGAGCACCCUGGUCGUCUCUGGAGCCGAUGCAUUUUGACGCCGUUCUGAAGCAGCGUACCCACAGGACUUUGUACAGGGAGAAAUUCGAUUUCCACGCUUUGAACAGCAAUAGAGAGUAGAAUACAAUUUGUAUGCCGGUUACUACGCUCAUUCAUACAUCCAUCA
ensembl:lncRNA